AUAGAGUUGGCAGAAUUAUGUGAGUAAUUUAGGGUUAUUUUAUAAAAGUUUGACUUUUACUUUAUA
rnacentral:tRNA from 1 species